GUUCUAUUCUUGGGAAAUGUUUCCCAUCUGCGAAAAUACUUGAUUGAGGCUUUGGCUGAAAGGGGCCUCUGUUUUCAUUCUCCUAGGAGGCUGGCUCAACGUUGGGCAGCGGAUGCCCUCCUCGGCUUUGGCAGAUGUCCAAACCCUCAUUGUUUUCCCUGCAUGAGGAAGCUGAGCAGC